GUCGAGAAUCUUUCACAAUGGGGGCAACCCUGAUGGAGCGACGCCGCGUGGAGGAUAAGGUCUUCGGAUUGUAAACUCCUGUCAUGCGUGAACAAGGUUGCAGGGAUAAUACCUCUGCAAAUUGAUAGUAUCGCAAGAGGAAGAGACGGCUAACUCUGUGCCAGCAGCCGCGGUAAUACAGAGGUCUCAAGCGUUGUUCGGAAUCACUGGGCGUAAAGGGUGCGUAGGUGGCGUGGCAAGUCAGAUGUGAAAGCCCGGGGCUCAACCUCGGAACUGCAUCCGAUACUGCCAUGCUGGAGUACUGGAGAGGUGACUAGAAUUCUCGGUGUAGCAGUGAAAUGCGUAGAUAUCGAGAGGAAUACCAAAGGCGUAGGCAGGUCACUGGACAGUUACUGACACUGAGGCACGAAGGCCAGGGGAGCGAACGGGAUUAGAUACCCGUGUAGUCC
rnacentral:rRNA from 1 species